GCAGAUCCGUGGUUUAUCUCUGAUAUAAAAGGAGUGUUAGGAUAACCUUCUCCUGAAGGCCGGGUAGCUGCUGUCUGAGAUAGGUGAGCACAAAGAGAAGCGGCCCUGUGGAUGACACCAGCUGUAACCAGACACCUGCCUCCCAGGUAGACCUAACAGCUGGCUUAAAAGAGCUGCUUCCCAUCUGGCCAUGCACCUCUGAGUGAGGCAGCACAAGAAGAAACAUGAAAGGACUGAGGUCAUGUGCCAGCUCUCACUCUGGAUUAGAAACUUGUCCAUCUAUAGCAGGUCAACAGAUAAAGGGACCCAAAAUGGAAUGUCAUUCUGAGGUGGGGAAAAACAAAACUGGAGCUCCUUGAGAAAAGGACAUGACCAAAUUGUGGAAUCUUCAAAAGGCAGGCGACACGUUACCGUAUCGACGUAGAAGUCCAUUUAAACUUUUUUGGUGCUGUGUCGUCUUGUGAUGUCGAAUGCAAAGAUGAGGACAGUCUGUGCCUCUCGCUGUGAAAGGGGUUGUCGCAUUGUGUGGUUCACAGCAGGAGUGUGGUGUUUGCAGAUUGGAAUGCUAGCACCCCAGCGCUUGCAUUGCAGGCAGUCAUGUCAUUUUCACACGCUGAACACAUGAUUAAGGUAACCAGAGACCAUCGCACAAGUGUUGACUGACUGAUAUUCAUUGCUCACUAACAUAAUGCCCAAACAAAAGUUACUUAAACAAUUUAUAGCAACAUAAACUGUAGGUUUUAAUACCUUCUGAGUGACCAACCUUAGUUAAUAUUCAUUGUACUAUUUUGCAAAUGUACUUUAUUAAAACUUGUGUUUUGCAUUACAA